AUUGAACGCUGGCGGCAGGCCUAACACAUGCAAGUCGAACGGUAACAGAAAGCGGCUUGCUGCUUUGCUGACGAGUGGCGGACGGGUGAGAAAUGUCUGGGAAACUGCCUGAUGUAGGGGGAUAACUGCUGGAAACGGUAGCUAAUACCGCAUAACGUCUCAAGCCCAAAGAGGGGGAGCUUCGGGCCGCUUGCGAGCGUAGGUGCCCAGCUGGUAUUAGCUAGUAGGGGGGGUAACGGCUCACCUAGUCGACGAUCUCUAGCGGGUCUGAGAGGAGGACCAGCCACCCUGGAACUGAGACACGGUCCAGACUCCUACGGGAGGCCGCAGUGGGGAAUAUUGCACAAUGGGCGCAAGCCUGAUGCAGCCAUGCCGCGUGUGUGAAGAAGGCCUUCGGGUUGUAAAGUACUUUCUGCGGGGAGGAAGGGAGUAAAGUUAAUACCUUGGCUCAUUGACGUUACCCGGAGAAGAAGCACCGGCUAACUCCGUG
rnacentral:rRNA from 1 species